UUGGGUAUAGACGCUGUAACGGGAUGGGAACCGAAGCAUGCUGAAGAUUCCAUUCAACUCCUAUUCCGACACGUCCACGUCGUGCAAGGUGGUAACAUGGGACCAAUUCCGGCCAUUUGGCUGCAUGAAGGCUCAUGGCUAAGAA
rnacentral:ribozyme from 1 species